AUGGCCCUCGUCGCCGGCUCCUACGAACGCUUCAUCUGGGGCUUCUCCCUCAAGGCCCUGGCCGCCUCCUCCGACGAGGCCCAGGCCCUCGCGCCGCUCUUCUCCUACCCGGCCCACGCGGGGCCCAUCCGCUGCGUGGCCGCCGCGCCGCGGGCGGGCCUCGCGGCCUCCGGCGGCGCCGACGACUCCAUCCGCCUCUACGACCUGCGCGCCGCCGCCGACCUCGGUCCGCUCCUCGAUCCCUCCGCCGCCGUCUCCGCGCUCGCCUUCCACUCCAUCGGCCCCGUCCCGCGCAACCUCCUCGCCGCCUCCGACGACGGCCUGCUCCACCUCUACGACGCCGACGGCUUCGCGCUCCUCACCUCGCUCCGCGUCUUCCCGCGGGGCCGCGAGGCAGCCGACGCCCUCGCCGUGCACCCCUCGGGCCGGGUCGCGCUCGCCGUCGGCCGGGCCGGGGGCCUCUCCAUGGUCAACCUCCUCCGCGGCCGCCGCAGCUUCACCUGCCGCCUCGAGCGCCCCGCCUCGGCCGUCGCGUACGCCCAGGACGCCGCCGGCGGUGACCGCUUCGUGAUGGCCGCUGAGGAGAAGGUCACCGUGCAUGACUCCGAGGACGCCCGGAUCAUCCAUGAGAUGCGCUGCGACAAGAGGGUUCUCGCCUUAGCUCCAUCAAAGAAUGGAAUUCUUUACACCGGAGGAGAGGAUCGUGGUAUUACUGCUUGGGAUUUGACGAGCGGCAAGGUUUCAUCGCGCAUCGAGGGCGCUCAUUCAACUCGUGUAAAAGGGAUUGUCGUUUUCGAUGACCGGAAUGACGGAUCUGAAUCGAGCACUCUAGUUGCCUCGGCUUCAUCUGAUGGCAUCAUAAGGAUCUGGGAUGUUCGGAUGAUUGGUAGCGAGAAGCCUACUCCAUUGGCAGAGGCCAACACAAAAGCAAGGCUAACAUGCCUUGCUGGGACAUCAUUGAAAUGA
rnacentral:rRNA from 1 species